UACGGGAGGCAGCAGUGGGGAAUAUUGCACAAUGGGCGAAAGCCUGAUGCAGCUAUGCCGCGUGUAUGAAGAAGGCCUUAGGGUUGUAAAGUACUUUCAUCGGGGAGGAAAAACAAAACUAAUAAUUUUAUUUCUUGACGUUACCCGAAAAAGAAGCACCGGCUAACUCCGUGCCAGCAGCCGCGGUAAUACGGAGGGUGCUAGCGUUAAUCAGAAUUACUGGGCGUAAAGAGCACGUAGGUGGUUUUUUUAAGUCAGAUGUGAAAUCCCUGGGCUUAACCUAGGAACUGCAUUUUGAAACUGAAAUACUAGAGUAUCGUAGAGGGAGGUAGAAUUCUAGGUGUAGCGGUGAAAUGCGUAGAUAUCUGGAGGAAUACCUGUGGCGAAAGCGGCCUCCUAAACGAAUACUGACACUGAGGUGCGAAAGCGUGGGGAGCAAACGAGGGAUUAGAUACC
rnacentral:rRNA from 1 species